rnacentral:snRNA from 1 species
GUGCCCACUUUAGCAGCACAUAUACUAAAAUUGGAACACUACAGAGAAGAUGAGCAUGGCAUCUGCAAAGAUGAUGUGCAAAUUCAUGAAGUGUUCCAAAUUUCC